AUCUUGAAUAAAUUCGAUAAAUCUGUAAACACAAAACAAAUAGAGUAGGAACUUGAUUUGUUAUAAAUUUCGUAGAUUUUCACGGGUACCUCUAAUGGCACCUUUAGUGAUCGUUUAUUUCUGUUGGUACUUGAGAAUCAAAUAAAUGUCUCUUCGUACGACGGCCGUCGGAUAUUUACAGUCGACAUUGAGAAACUCCUCUUGCGUUUAAACGCGUCAUCGUGUUUCUUCUUAUUGCCGCUUCAAUAUUACUUUAUUCGAGACAACAAAUCUUUGUGCCCUUCGUCAAUCAUACGCGAAAACAUUUUCAAAGUAUUCGGUCAAAGUUUCAAAACAUUCAUCUUACAAGACUGAAGAAUGUAGUACGUCGACAUAGUAAAUAAAGUUAAAGUAAAUACGCGUGUCUAAACUUUCGUAGUAUUUUUUCCAAAGACUCUGUAUAUCGCGUGUACGUCUAGGAAUAUUAGUUUCUUUUUUACAUUUUUUUCAGGUUUGCUUAUAUUCCCAGAAAAUCGAGCUCGAGUUCGAGCUAUUUCGGCGAAUUCCAAAGGCGAUGUAAACAAUCGCGGAAUGGAACCGAAUGGAACGAUGAUCGAAUCAGUUCUCUUUGAAAAUUCGUGGAGACAGGAGGCUACCGAUCCUAUCGUAUCAUAAUUUGUAAUAUUGUAAAUCACGAAUUUAACGUGCACACGUUCGAUUUAUCCUAAGGCGCAACGAACUCGUAAAAAUCGACUCCUGAUCUAUUCAAACUAUUUUUACCAAUUCUUCCUUCUAGCGGCCGCUUCUCCAUAAUCAAGCCAUCUAAUUAUAGGACAGCACCUUCCAACUUCUCGGAGGAGAGAAGUUUAGUUCUUACAAUUAGCUGGCUCCGAGCUACAUCGUAGAGUAUGGCGAACCGUGAAUCUUAUUUCGCAUUUAAUCAAAGUAAUUGCUAACCAUCGUUGCUUGCCACAGAGGACUUCCUUCCACUUUUCACCCUCUCUUUCCUUCACCUCGCUUUUUCUUUUCCUCGCUUCUUAGAUAUCUUUCCGUAGAAAUUAUGCGCAUAUCCAAAUACCGAGUUUUAUCAUCGCGUCGUUGCUUUCGUUCCUUAUUGAAACGAUCGUAUAAUUUAAUCUUUUCGGACUAUUAUCAAAUGAAGUUAGGUUAAUGCUAUUAAUGGCGAUACUACUUUAGAAUCGAUUCUUUCUUAAUUCAGAAAUCGAUGCGAUCGAACGUAUUUGAUUAAAUGUUUUGUCGUCGUCUUGACCAUUGAACGAAAAGUAGAAAAUUUAUUGUUCCCAGUCGCUGCGAAUGAAAUUGAAUAAUAUUCAAACCAAAUUCUAAGAAGGUUAUAUAAAUUCACAGUUUUCGAGCUGCUCCGAAGCUCCGUCGACGAAAGUAAAACGAUGACAAAACCAGGAGGUUUCUUUCAACGCAUUGACCCGGUAUCGUUUUUGUUACGAAUGUUUGUUCCUCCUCGAUACUAGCAAAAAGAUCGUUAGUGGGUCCUAGAAGUGCUAUAUCGAUAUCGUUUAUCGAUUCUAAUUUACUGGAAAGUCAUUAACGAAUAAAAACCUUUUGAAAUGUA